GAUAUCAGCCACAACACACACACUAACACCUAAAACACACACACACUUCACGCAUAACACCAUUUUCUUUGGUGUUGGAGCUUUUGACCUCCGAUUUGAGCACCGAGACGAGCGUCGAUCAUCUUUUCGAUCACGUAUCUAAGUAGGUCCUUUUGGGAAGUAACGACUUGAGGGAGAGAGUGACGUUACUCAUUGAUACAGAGACACAACGAGGUUGAGCUGAUGUGAUGAUGGUGCUGCAAUGAGCGGAGUCUCCAGGGUUGUUAAUAAAUAGCUAACCUGUCUAGAAUAUGUCUUCAUACAUAUGUCUAGCUACUUUCCGCUGCAAGAUGUUGUUGAUGUUAUAGUAUGUUAUGUCAUACUUUGAGUCUUAAGAGAAUGGUUUCAUACGAUGUAUAACUUGAUUAAUGAUAUUAAUUAAGUUUUAUGCUGUCUUUCAUAGACUGUUUUCAAUUGAGUAUUAAUGAA